rnacentral:SRP_RNA from 1 species
GCUGGGGAAUGGUGGCGCGUGCCUGUCGUCCCAGCUAUUCGGGAGGCUGAGGCUGGAGGAUCUCUUGAGUCCAGGAGUUCUGGGCUGCAGUGCGCUAUGCCGGUCAGGUGUCCGCACUAAGUUUGGCAUCAAUAUGGUGACCUCCCAGGAGCAGGGGACCACCAGGUUGCCUAAUGAGGGGUGAUCCAGCCCAAGUCGGAAACAGAGCAGGUCAAAACUCUCAUGCUGAUCAGUAGUGGGAUCGCGCCUGUGAAUAGCCACUGCACUCUAGCCUGGGCAACAUAGCGAGACCCUGUCUCU